AUGUGCUUCUUUUUUAACACAGUAAACAAGAUUGAGUCUAGUUACUGUAAUUUCAGCGUGACGGAUAAGGAGGAUAGGAGUACUUUGCGACAUCUGCAGUAACAGCAAUGCGAUAUGAAAGUACCUGUGAUUUCUCCUGGCAACAAGUAGGUACAGCUAAUAUUACUUUAAAUUCCAUCCACAGGCCCCUCAUCUCCGGGCUAAGAGUCCCUGCAUUAGGGCAUGAUGGAACCACAAGAAAGAAGGAGCCUGGGUCCCUGGGUGACCACAUGGAGCAGAGGCCCCUGCAACACGUAUUCAACCCAGAGGAAAAGAUGAGUGUUUUCCAGGAACAUCAAGACCCUGGGGCCAGCUGGGUGAACCUCAACAAGUGUUCCAACCUCUCUGAACCUCAAUAUCCUCAAAAGAAAACGUAGACCAUGAUCCCAGUCUUAUAGGAAGCAAAAAUGAGAAGACCACUGUCUGUAAACCACGAAGAGGGAUUUCACCAAGAACCCGGCAUGCUGGCACCCUGAUCUCCGACUUCCAGCCUCCAUCACCAUGAAGAAGCACGGAAGAAACAAUGACAAGAGAGCCAGGAAAAGGUUGCCACGAGAAUCUAGAGGGAUUCUGCGCUCAAACUGCUGCACAACGUCUUCAAAUGCUUAUUCCGCUUGAAAUAAACCCAAAUCGGAAAUCAGAAGAUAGAUUCUGUAGCUUAUGUAAGGAGAGCAAUGUGAAAAGCCAAUUAACAGCUCCACACUGAAAGAGAAGAAUGGCAAGUGUUCAAGGUGCAUAUCAUUUAAAAUAAUCCCAUGCUUUCAUGAACUAACCCUGGUCCCAGCUGAGCUGGAUAUGUAGGCUUCUCUAGGAUUAUUAGCCUCAUUUUACAGGUGAACAAACUGAGGCCCAGGAUAACAACACCUAAAUGGUGGAGCCAAGAUUCAAAAGCAGCCGGUGUGGUUGCAAAGUCUGUGCUGACUCCCUAUACUAGUGAUGUGCAGUGGAAGUUUCCAUGAUGAUGGAGAUGUUCUGACCUGCUCUGUC